CAGCAGCCGCGGUAAUACAGAGGGUGCGAGCGUUAAUCGGAUUUACUGGGCGUAAAGCGUGCGUAGGCGGCUUCUUAAGUCGGAUGUGAAAUCCCUGAGCUUAACUUAGGAAUUGCAUUCGAUACUGGGAAGCUAGAGUAUGGGAGAGGAUGGUAGAAUUCCAGGUGUAGCGGUGAAAUGCGUAGAGAUCUGGAGGAAUACCGAUGGCGAAGGCAGCCAUCUGGCCUAAUACUGACGCUGAGGUACAAAAGCAUGGGGAGCAAACAGGAUUAGAUACCCCUGUAGUCCCUGUCUCUUAUAC
rnacentral:rRNA from 1 species